rfam:Culex pipiens quinquefasciatus supercont3.1033 genomic scaffold, whole genome shotgun sequence.
GCCCGUGUGAAUCAAUCGGACCGCGCACUGGACUCACAAUCCAGAGGUUGCUGCUUCGAAUCCAGCGGCGGGCG